GAAAAAUUAGUUAAUUUAUAACAUAAACCUGUCACGUUUAAAUUAUCAAUUUCAUUGAUAUUUUU
rnacentral:tRNA from 1 species